rnacentral:tRNA from 1 species
GAAGGUAUAGCUCAAUGGUAGAGCACAUGCUUAACAUUCACGGGGUCCUGGGUUCAAUCCCCAGUAUCUCUA